rnacentral:rRNA from 1 species
AACGCGAAGAACCUUACCUGGUCUUGACAUCCACGGAAUCCUGCAGAGAUGCGGGAGUGCCGCAAGGAACCGUGAGACAGGUGCUGCAUGGCUGUCGUCAGCUCGUGUCGUGAGAUGUUGGGUUAAGUCCCGCAACGAGCGCAACCCUUAUCGUUAGUUGCCAACAGGUAAUGCUGGGAACUCUAGCGAGACUGCCUGGGUUAACCAGGAGGAAGGUGAGGAUGACGUCAAGUCCGCAUGGCCCUUAUGUCUGGGGCCACACACGUGCUACAAUGGUCGGUACAGAAGGCAGCGAAACCGCGAGGUGAAGCAAAUCCCAAAAGCCGACCCCAGUUCAGAUUGUAGUCUGCAACUCGACUACAUGAAGAUGGAAUUGCUAGUAAUGGCGAGUCAGCAACAUCGCCGUGAAUACGUUCCCGGGUCUUGUACACACCG